UGAACUGCCAUUAAACUGGGACAGAUUUUUUAAGGAUUUUCCUUUAGAACUCAAGGUUAACGUUUUGUGAGUUAAGAAGUCUUUUAUCCCCAAUCUACUUCUGACGCCAUGGCACCACAGGGUCCUUCCACCUUGAGCAGCUCGUUGAAGCCCAUCUCUCCAAUCUAGGACCAGCUGCCAAUGGGAUGGUUCCCAGCCCGACCCUGAAGCCAGCCUUCCUGCAAAGCCUCACAGCCUGGAGCCUUCUGAAUAUCUCAGAUACUCAUCUGGAGGCUACAGACAUGGUUGUGUGAAGCUGACAGAUAGGAUCAUCUGUUUGAAUGCCUCUGGACACCGUGGGAAGACAAAAAAGAUAACUAUUAAAGAAUAUCAAGAGAUUUUGCUCUUGGAGACAUUCAGAGAAAGAAUGAGUCUCCACCCGCACAGGUGUGCACAGUCCACUCUCGGGCUUGUGGACAGGAAGGAGGAGCAGAGGAUGCUGCUGAUGCUGCCGGAGCCAGGGGUCCUGAAACCACAACCACAUGGCGGCUUCUGUCGUUGGCCUGUUGAUGGCAUCAUAUUUUUGGUCAAAGUAAAGAUGAGGAUUGAGGGAAUUGCUUAGAGACUUCUGGCAAAAUUGGACAUAUUCUCUCAAUUAUUAGAAUAAUGGGCACAGCUUGAAAGAUUCCAAUUGUGGUAAAGAUGGAUGAACUCUUGAAAAAGGAGAUCUCUCACAGAGCCAAUGAUCAUCUCUGCCUUGAGAAUGUGUGUGUGGUCUGGGGGCAUCUCCGAACCACGAUCUUGUGAGGUGGGUUCAGACUGGUGAAGAGCGCAUGGUCAGAGAGCUUGGAUGAGAAUCCUCACUCCACCACUUAUCGGCUGUGUGACUUUAGCAAGUUUCUCUGGAUUUUCAGAGUGAGUGGAUUUUUCUGGAUGCGACUGUCUCUUAGAUGUGGUUCCUUGGGUUAGCAGCCUCUCCCUGGAGGGAAGUCCACUUUUUAGGUCUGGAUGGUUGUCUCCAGCCCCCAUUCUAUGUUGACCACAGAUUUUUCUCACUGUCGCCUAUGACAACCCCAGAUUUGUCACAGUUCAGGGGACUUUAGAGAUCAUCUUGCCAAGUUCUAGUUUAAAGUUCAGUAAAGUGACUCUGUAGUUAGGGAGACUGAGGUUCAGGGACAUUCUCACUCAAAAGUCUCAUUUUAACCUGCUGUCCUAGGUGUAAACACUUACAUUUCUUGGUAUGAGAAAAACUGAAGUUUUCACUAAAUCCCCAAUUAAUGUGAUUGCUUAUGAAUGCCCAAUUCAUUUUAUCAUUCUAUUGUGUACUAUCAUUUUAUCAUUUAUUGUGUAUUAUCAUUUUCAAUAUUUGGAAGUUUAACUUGUGAUUUCCUCCUUGAUAAUUGUAACUAUCACUGUUUUCCAAGUAAAAUUAUUUUUCCUUUCAGACGUAUAUAUCUAGAUCAAAGUGAUUUCUAAAAAAUCAAUAAAAGAUUACCAAGCAAUUUUUAUGGUAGAAAA
rnacentral:lncRNA from 1 species